CUGAGCAUGCCCAGGGGCUUCUCAUUUGAGUCCCAGAAGCACGGCCCCGAAUUCACCACCUCACCCCUUCCCAGGACCUGCUGAAGCACACACCUGUGGACCACGCAGACUGCCUGCCGCUACACGAUGCCCUCCGCAUCCCCCAGGACUUCUUUCUGUCAUCAGUGAGGACAUUGACCCCUCUGGACUGCAGUCACAAUGGACUCCCAAGAGGCAGGUCACACGAUGUGUCAUGGAGACAGGAAAGGCUGGGACAGAUCGUCACAGCCCCAAAGAAGCCCUCCUGACUCUGAGAGUGGCUGAGCAGAAACUAUGGAAAUCCUCAUGGAGUGGAAACCAUCCGGAGCCCAGGAACUGCCGACUAUUGCUCAUAGUGCUUGACCUGGGAGGCAGAGAUUGCACUGAGCCGAGAUUGCGCCACUCCAUUCUAGCCUGGGCAGCAGAGCGAGACUGUCUCCAAAACAAAACAGAGAUUCUCUGUGACAAUGACUGCAUCAGCCCCUCAGGAGGGAGCGCUUCUCCAGGGCAAGAAGAGCCCCCGUAGUGUGUGAGUGCUGAGUCAUGCAGUCUUCUGGGUGCUGAACGGGCUUUGCCGCUCUGGUCCUGGCCUCCGUAUGUGGACGUGAUCUGUGUGAACAGCUACUACACUUGGUAUCACGACUACCAGCACCUGGAGUUGAUUCAGCUGCAGCUGGCUCCCAGUUUGAGAAUUGGUGUAAGACUUAUCACAAGCCCAUUAUUCAGAGCGAGUACAGAGCGACAGAAUUGUAGGGUUUCACCAGGUAAGUGGUGUUGAACUUUGUGAUUGUGUGUUCUCUCUGGGCAGAGAUGUCACUCGCCUCCCCCGGCCUGGCCUGUGGCCACUGCAGUGCUCCCCUUGCUUCACCUUUGGGCUCACCUCCCGCUACCCCGUCCACGUUGCCUUCUUGCCAGCAGCCAGGCCUCUGCCCCACUCGCUUGGUCCUCAAAAGUGGCCUCCUUACCGGCCUUGUUUCCAGACAGCCUCCUAUCACCCAUGCCCAAGUGGUCUUUCUAACUCCUGACCUCAAGUGAUUUGCCUGCUUCAGCCUACCCAAAUCCUGGGAUUGUAGACGGGAGCCACCACGCCCAGCCUGUCCUCAUUUUUUUAUCCCUCUCAUUUUUUUGUCUUCCUCUCCAAAGAUAGAUUGCUUUAUCUUGUGGGUUUCUUUUUUCAUGUGGAUUCCUGAACCCCAUCCAGCCCCUCGUUCUCUCCCCAGCCAGCUCACACUCAUUUGUCACAGCUCCUGGGACUCCCGUUGACACAUAAAGAACAGCCACCCACAGUGGACUGCGCCGUUCUGUUUGCACCCUUAAAUUUAUCGUGCUUACAGAAUGCCACUUCUGCAAACUAGUCAAGUAGGGGGAAGUGGCUCGUGGAUAUGCACCCUUGCUCAUCGCCUUUGAAAAGGUAACCAGUUCUGAUUUCUUUUUUCUUUGAGACAGAAGUU
rnacentral:lncRNA from 10 species